rnacentral:tRNA from 1 species
UGGGAAUAGCUCAGUGGUAGAGCACAUGCUUAGCAUGCAUGAAGUCCUCCUGGGUUCAAUCCCCAGUACUUCAA